AUUGAACCUUUUUAUCUUCUGAUUUCAUUACUCUGUAUUAUAUAUAUAUAUAUAUAUAAAAGUUAGUCCAUAAAGGACAAUGGCAGUCUCAGUGUUCCUGCACUCAACAUGCUGCCACCAACAACGUCCCCUUAAGACAGCAGCAUAAUCAGGAUUUUCCACUUGAGUCUGGACCGACUGGUUGAACGACAUGUUGAUGACUGGGAGGCUCUGAAUUCCUCUGGAGGAGUUUUUCUCACCAUCUUUACUUUCACUUCUGUCUUUGACCGAUGACAACCGACAGAACUUCAACUCAACUAAAGGUAAAGUAUAAAUAAAUGAUCAUUAGUUUUGUAGAUCGAUAGAAGUGAUUGGUCAGUACUGAUGAUGCAAUUUGUUCUCAGGUGGAAUGUAAUCGAUCCUCAGGUUGUUAAAGCAGCAGUUGGUCUUCAGUUGAAUGAGUCUCUGAU
rnacentral:lncRNA from 15 species